CAAUAGCGUAUAUUAAAGUUGUUGCAGUUAAAAAGCUCGUAGUUGGAUUUCUGAUCGAGACAUCAGGUCGGGUCCGAGAGGAUCAUGUACUUUGAUUUUGUUUUGAUCAUCCUUGGGGAGAGCAUUUCUGGCAUUCAGUUGUCGGGAUUGGGAUCCUCAUCGUUUACUGUGAAAAAAUUAGAGUGUUCAAAGCAGGCCUCGGCCUCUGAAUACAUUAGCAUGGAAUAAUAAGAUAGGACUUUGGUGGUCUAUUUUGUUGGUUUGCACGCCAAAGUAAUGAUUAAUAGGGAUAGCUGGGGGUAUUCGUAUUCAAUUGUCAGAGGUGAAAUUCUUGGAUUUAUGGAAGACGAACUACUGCGAAAGCAUUUACCAAGGAUGUUUUCAUUAA
rnacentral:rRNA from 1 species